UACGUAGGGUGCGAGCGUUAAUCGGAAUUACUGGGCGUAAAGCGUGCGCAGGCGGUUUUGUAAGCCCGAUGUGAAAUCCCCGGGCUUAACCUGGGAAUGGCAUUUGGGACUGCAAGGCUGGAGUUUGGCAGAGGAGACUGGAAUUCCUGGUGUAGCAGUGAAAUGCGUAGAUAUCAGGAGGAACACCGAUGGCGAAGGCAGGUCUCUGGGCUGAAACUGACGCUUAUGCACGAAAGCGUGGGGAGCAAACAGG
rnacentral:rRNA from 1 species